GGAGUGGCCCCGCGCCCUCCUGCCACGCCCUCCGCGCUGGCCAGGGAGUCGCGUGCGGAGGAUCGCAGCGCUGUGCAGCGGGCUUGGGAGGCAGCCGCGGGGGUGUGAGAUUGCAAGUCUGCGUGUCUCCGAGCCCCGACCGCGCAGUGGAAACCUUAACAGUAACUCCCUUUCUCUUGGAUAACACCUAUCAGAAACAAUAAUGGCCCAGUAAGUCUCCCCCAAACAGAUACCGAUACAACUGGAUGCCUAACUGAAAGAAAAUAACAGUGACUUUUUCUCAGAGUCAACAGCAGUCACAUCAUUGAUGCCCAAGGAGUACUGGAUUGCCAUUUAGGAACUCCGCUUGGAGGAGCAGUGGUAGUAGGCAAGAAGGAUGGCCACAUGCCCAGUCACCCAGACCUGAGAGACAAGAAUGCACCUAGCCUUCCCAUCAGGAAGGCAAUGCGGACUCUCAAGUGUGGAGGCUACAUGAUGGAACACUUCACCUGGAGACGUGUCUAUUGGUACCGUACCAGUGAGGGUCUCCAGUAUCUCCAUGAUUAUCUCCACAUGCCUCUUGCGAUUGUGCCAGCGCCCUGAGAUGCCGCUAUACUGAGACCAGCAAGCCUCAGCCAAAUCAUCUGGAAGUUGGAGAACAUUAUUUUCUGUUGAGUAAGCUUGUAGCCAGAAAGAAAGAGUAUUAAAUCACUGCCUAGUCACGAAGAGAAGAUCCAUGAGUUCUGAAAAAAUCAAAAUACAGAAAAGUAACUAUAAUAAUUUCAUUGUUUUUGGUAAAAUAGUGAAUAGCACAUUGAAGUCUGUAUAAUUCAUGGAUCUACAUGGAACUUUAUGAGAACAUAUUGAAGGUCAUACAACAGAAAUACAGUGUCUGGCAUGGGGGUAAUUUGGGGAGAUGUGGUAAAGAGGGAAUAUGUGGGUGACAAAAAUAACAACCAUGGUAUUACCAUACCUAUGCAGAAUCAUCUGUCCAUUUGUGUGUAAAGAAUUAUUGAAAGGAUAAUCAGCCUUUAAAUAUUAUGAUGGUAGAGUUUCAGAUAAAUCGAUUUAUACAUUUAUAUAAUGCACAGUUUUUUUGAAAUAAGCAUUUAUUUUUAUGUGAUCAGGAGGAAAGGUAUUUGCAUUGUGAACAAAAAAGCAUAAAACCACAAAAGCAAUAAGGAUUUUAGGAAUAUGUCCUUUAAAUGUUUAACAAGGUCUCUAUAAGUCAGUAAAUAGAGCAUUAUUAAUGGGUAUAGGUCUCAAUGCAAAAAAGAUGGUGAUUCUUUGAAUUAACCUAUAAAUUCAAAGAGAUUCUAAUAAUUAUGUUUACAGAACUUAACAAAUUGGCCCUUGAAGUCACACAGAACUGUAGAAGACCCAAUAUAAAUAAGAUUAUUUUAAAUAAGAAAUCAUCCUAUCAAAUAUGAAAGUGUUAUAAAUCAGCAAUAAUCAAGGCAGUAUAAACAAGUAAUAAACACACAAGUGAGACAGACUGGAGACAACAUAACAGAGUCAUGCAGAGAGCAGGAUAACUCGAGGAGGCAAAUGUGACAUUAUACAUUAGUGAGGAGGAGAAGUUGGCAAAUGAACCUCACCUGGAGCGUCUAUAAAAAUGUGUGACAGGCAGGUGGAUAAUGAAGACCGCCUAGAAAAGAUGCUGGCCGGGCCAGCAGUGGGCUGGGGUACAGCACCCUCCUUGAGGUUUUUCCUCUGAUCUACACUGUUCUGGGCAUGCCACUGCUUACCUCAUCACCACUGUGGGGCACAGAAGAUAUGACAACCAGUGCCACUGGACAUAAGAAGUCUGGUGACACAGAUAUGAUUCACUGAUGGAAGGACAGCUAACCACAGGUACAGACAGUGUCCUGACCCCCAGGUCUAAACCCAAUAUAUAAAAUCAAAUUUUGUAUCCAGCUAUUCAUCAAGCUGGAUUCCUUCUUUUUCUUUGUUUCUGAGGUUGCUGAAGUUUUCCAAACUUCUGCCGGCUCCUGCUUCAUAUCCUUCUGCUGCCCCACAGUCUCAUCCCUCAGCUCUUUCUUCUCUUCUCAGUGUGUUCGGGUCCUGUAAAUACCGUAGAUGUAGCCACCAGCUGGAAGGCAGUGACAGCAACUUUUCCGCUCACGGAGAAAAGGAGACCUGAGCACGUGUGAGUGACUGGUCCGCAGGUGGAGGCAGAGAGAGACAUGAACCACGGAACUCAAGCAGUUCCCAAGUCAAUGGCUAGAAUAAUCCUGACUCAGAGAACAACUGAAUGCCAGUGAAGUCAUGUGCAGAACCCACCACUGUGCCCAGGAAGAAGGAGAGCAAGAGCUCCCACCCCAAGAUGCCAGGCCCAAUCAGACUCAGCAAGAAUGCCUGCAAUCCGAGAGAAACAGGCCUGGAGUCGGAGUUAACCCCAGCUUUGCAGCAGAAUGACCAUUGGAGCAGUUGGGGUGUGAUCACUUAAACUCUGACCAAAAAUUGACUUGGGGAUCACAUAUUCAAUGGCUCAUUAGAAUUUCUAAUCAAAAUUCCCAGUGUACAUGUUAUUGGAUUAACUUUUUGUAUGUUUCUUGAGUUAUUUAUUUUCUUGUACUGUUUCACAUGUAUAUGAGGUGGUAACUUUGUACAAUUGCUCUUCCACUGGCUUUGAUUUAACAGAUACCCAGGUUCCUUCACCUAAAACAUAGAUGAAGAUGGGGGAAAGUAACUCCAAGGACUAGAACAGAAAUGGUAUAAGAUUGCAAUUGUUGAUACCAUUUUAAAGUGAAGUAUUCUUGUGGCAAAACAAAGGGAAAGACUUGAAAUCACAGAAAGUACAACAAAUGAAGAAGCAGUAAAAAAAUACUAGACUAGGAAGCUGAAAAUCUACUCACAGGGAGGCAACAUCCUACUGAAAGUCUUCAUAAACCACAUCCUCUCCUCACUUUCCUAGUUUUCAACUGGUGGUGGCCCCCCUGCCAAUAAAAGGGAAGAGAAUAAAGAGGGGAGCUCGUGUAAUUAACACAAAAGGGAAAUAAACAUAAACAAACACAGCUUUAAGUAGGGUAAUAAGGAAAUAGAAGAUCUCCAAACAUCGCCCACGAUAAGGCUAGCGGACAACGGGAGAAGAAAACAAGUAUCACGUACAGAAACCUAUGAAGAGCUCUUAGAAGGGGUGAAGGAAAUUAAGGGAAAAGAAACAUACCGGAAGCUUGCGGCAGUGAUACUCAACAUGCCCAUGGUGAACAUCAGGGACAUUAAAAAAAAAACUGAACAAGCUAACCAAGACAGCUCAAAACUUGAAUGAGAGGUCAGGUUUGGUGGCACACACCUGAAAUUCCAGCACUAGGAGGACAAGGCAGGAGACUUGCUGUGAGUUCAAGGCCAGCUUGGGCUAUAAGGUGAGGUUAAGGCCAGCCUGAACUGAUAAUGAAACCCUGUCUCAAAAAGACAAAAAGGCUAGGGAUUUAGCUCAGCGUCAUAAGCACCUGCCCUGCAAGUGCACAGUCGUGAGUUUGAUCCCUGGUACCAAAAAAAAAAAAAAAAAAAAAAAGACAAAAAAAUCCCCAAACCUUACCCCUAAAAAUCCCCAUGAAACUCGGAUUACAGAUUCAACAGGAUAUGGAAGUCCUCUACAAGACACCAGAGAAAAUAAAAACAGUGUUUAAUUCAUUCAAGAAAGGACCAAAGUGAAGUCAGAGUAUCAGAUAUUGAGAACAAAAUAAUGGAUUAUAAUAAAGAGCUCAAAGAAGCCACAGAGAAAAUAAGGAAACAGAGAACAUUGUCCAGCAGCUAUUAGAUGACAGAACAAUAACAAAUCUAAUGUGAAGUGGAGUUAGAGAAAAGCCUGAAAACUAUGUUACACAGAUAGAUUCACCAACAUGUUUACAGAAAUUGUUGAAGAAAAAUUUUAAAAUAUAAGAAAAGAUUUUGAAGUGCAAGUAAUAGAUACUUAUAGAACACCAAAAAAUUACAGUGAAAGAUGUUCAUGAGGUAUAUCCUCAUUAAAUUCACAGAUAUCCAGAAAAAAAUUGAAACAGAAUUAUAAAGGCAUCCAUAGAAAAACAAAUAAGCACAUAUAAAGGUAAGUGAUUAGAAUCACCGCAGAUUUCCCAGUACAAACUGUGAUGGCCAGAAGACCUUAGAGUAUUUCAAGUCCUCUAAGCAAAUACUUCUAAUCAAGAUUAAUUUACCCAGCAAACCUCUCAUUCAAAAUAGAUGGAGAAAUACAGUAUUUCCAUGAAAAAUGCUGGCUCGGAAGAUAUAUGAGUGUGGAGUGGUGUGAGCUGAAGGCCUGCACACGAACUCUACCUAGCCAUGCAACCUCAGCACCUCACUUGGGACCUAGUAGGGCCUUGCCCAGCAUUCCCAAAUAGCUGGGGACUUUAGGUAAGUCACUCAGGUCUUGGUUGGACCCCACCCACUGACUCCAGUUGGCAGGGGAACCCCCAGUGCUGAGUAGUGUGAGUGGAAGUCCUGCACAGGAAACUUCCCCAGCUGUUCAGCCUUGACAUGCCGCAGAACCUUCUAGAGUCCUGCCCAGAAAACUCAAGCAGUUGGGGAGCUUCACAAUGCUAUGUGGGUUUUGCUGAAAGUCCACACAGCAUACUCUCUGCGUUGGAGGAGCCUUUGAGUGCCACUAGGGACCUAGUCAGGCCUGUUUAAGGACGCCCACUCACCCGGGGAAACUCCUACAGUAUGGACAAACAUCCUCAGCCCAGGAAGCAAUUGAGACUUUGCAUUAGGCUUCCCCAGGGGAAUACAGGAAAAUAAUAAAAUGGAAGAGCAAAAUGCAAUCUCAAACCAUCAGUCCAUCCCAAAUAAGACUAUAAGACACAGAUAUAGAAGAAAGUGUAAGCCACAUACCGGAAGCUUCUAAAAUGAUAGCAACUGAAACAAAGAAACAACUCCAUGAAGCUGUAAAGGAACUCAAAUAAAAAAUAAUCCCACAAGUAAAAGAAGAUAUAUAUAUAUAAUAAAAGAAAUGCUGAGCACAUCUAAAGAAGAUACAGUUUAAAAAACUGAGGAACCUAGAUUGAUGUACCCUGAAAAACUGUCCUUCAAAAUUAAUGAAGAAAUAAGAUAUUUCCAUGACAAAGAACAGCUGAAGAACUUCAUGAUCACCAAACCAACCCUGCAUAAAAUACUAAAAAAUAUUAUAUAGAGACAUAAAAAUAACUACAACCUCAAGAACACCAACAGAAAAAAACCACUAAACAAGGCAAACAGUUAAACAGAGGGGAAAGGUAAAGAAUUGACAGCAGAAAGAUAACAUGACAAAAAAUAAGUCAAUAUAUAUCAGUUAUAUCCAUUAAUAUGAAUGGCCUCAAUUCACCAAUUAAAAGAAACAGACUGGCAGAAUAGAUCAAGAAACAACAUCCAAACAUAUGUAUACAAGACACCCAUCUAACACAAAAGGAAGUCAGAGACUGAAAGUGAAAGGACAGAAAGCAAUACUUCAUGCAACAGGAAACACCACCACCACCACCACCACCAAUAAAAGCAGGGGUAGCUAUUCUAUUUGCAGACAAUAUGAACUUCAAACCAAGAAUGAGCAAGAGAGAAGAAGGUCACUACAUACUAGUUAGGGGAAAACUUCAAGAGGAAGAGAUAACAAAGAUGUAUGCGCCAAAUAUGGGAGCACCUUGAUUUAUAAAACAAAUAUUAAUAUAAAUAAAAAAUCAAGUAAAUAGUAACAAUUAUAACAGGAGACCUUAACACCCCCUUGACACAAAGACACAGAGCAACUAGACAGAAAAUCAGCAAAGAAAUAACAGAGCUAAAUCAAGCUUGUGAAUAAAUGGACUUAGUAGACAUGCACAGUGUUCCAUCCAACAUUAGAAUAUACAUUCUUCUCAGUUUCACAUGGGACAUUCUCUAAAAUAGACCAUAUACUACACAGAACACACUUAAGUAAAUGCAAAAGAAUUGAAAUUAUCUCAUGCAUGCUAUCUGAUUAUAGUGCCAUGAGACUAGAAAUGACCAAAGAAAAUCUGCAAAAACUCUUUAAACACAUGGAAAUUAAACAAUACACUCCUGAGCAAUCAGUGGGUCACAGAGGAAAUUAAAGAAGAAAUUAAACAAUAUCUACAAGCAAAUGAAAAUACAAACAUAACUUACUGGAACCUGUGGGAUGCAAUGAAAGUAGUCCUCAGAGGGAAACUCAUGUGUUAAAUCCUAUAUCAGCAAAACAGAAUGAACACAAACAACCUGAUGCUACACCUCAAACAUCUAGAAAAAGAAGAGCAAGUCAAGCCCAAAGCCCAAAGAAGGGAAGCAAUUAUAAAGAUCAGAGUAGAAAUCAAUGCAAUAGAGACUGAGAAAAGGAUACAAAGAAUCAAUGAAUUAAAAAGUUGGUCCUUUGAAAGAAUAAAUAAAAUUGAUAAGCCCCUAGAAAACUUUACUUUUAAAAAAGGAAAGAAAAAACUCAAAUUUAUGCAAUAAGGAAUGAAAAGGGCAAAAUCACUACACACCCUAUAGAAAUAGAGAAAACCAUCAAUACCUACUUCAAAAACUUUUACUCUCAUAGGUUUGAUAACACAGAAGAAAUGGACAAAUUCCUAAAAACAUAUGAAUUACCAAAACUGGAUCAAGAAAACAAAAAAUUGCUAAAUAACCCAAUUUCAAUUAAUGCAGUUGAAGAUGUCAACAAAGAAAAGCCAGGUGUUGAUGGGUUCACUACUGAAGUAUACAAGAAAUUUAGGGGAGACUUAAUGCUAACGCUCCUCAAACUUUUCAAUGAAAUUGAAAAGGAAGCAAGUCUUCCUAACUCAUCCAUGGAAGCAAGUAUUACCCUAAUACCAAAACCAGAGAAAGAACCAACCAAAAAAAGAGAACUACAGGCCAAUCUCCCUAAUGAACAUAGAUACUGAAAUACUCAGUUAAAUACUGGCAAACAGAAUGCAGCAAGUCAUCAAGAAGAUUAUACACCAUGACCAAGUGGGAUUCAUCCUAGGAAUGCGGGGAUGGUCCAACAUAUGGUAAUCAAUAAAUGUAAUACCAUAUCAAUAGAGCCAAAGAUAAGAAUCACAGGAUCAUUUCAAUAGAUGCAGAAAAAGCUUUUGAUAAAGUCCAAUACUCAUUCAUGAUAAGAAUCCUAUGGAAAAUGGGAAUAGAUGGUCUUUACCUCAACCUGAUAAAAGCCAUCUAUGACAAACCAAUAGCCAGCAUCAUAUUAAGUGGUCAAAAGUUGAAAGCUUUCACUCUAAAAUCAGGAAUAAGACAAGGAUGUCCAUUCAACAAACUUAUUCAAUAUAGUUCUGGAAACAAUAGCUAGAGCAAUUACAUAGGAGAGAAAAAUAAAAGGAAUAAGGAUAGGAAAGGAAGAAGUUAAAUUAUCACUAUUUUCAGAUGACAUGAUAUUGUACAUAAAAAAAUCCCCAAAAUUCUAUUGAAAGACUUCUAGAUGUAAUAAACAAAUUGUAAUUGGAUACAAACUCAAUACUCAAAUAGCAUUCCUGUACACAAACAACAAACUCACAGAGAAAAAUAAAAGAACCCACACCCUUCACAAUAGCAUCCAAAAAAUGAAAUACUUAGGAAUUAAUCUAACAAAUCUAACAAAAGACAUAGUUGGUGAAAAUUAUAAUACUCUGAAAAAAGAAAUUGAAGAUCUCAGAAAAGGGAAAGAUAUUCCUUGUUCUUAGAUAGGAAGAACAAACAUUGUAAAAAUGGUCAUUCUCCCAAAAUUGUUAUAAAAAUUUAAGUUAAUUCCAAUCAAAACAUCAUUAACAUACCAUACAGAUCUAUAGAAAUCAUUCUUAAAAUUCAUCUGAAACCAGAAAAGGCCUAGGAUAGCAAAGCCAAUUCUGGGCAACAAAGGUAAGGCUAAAGGCAUCACAAUCCCUGACUUGAAGUUAUACUACAAAGCUACUGUAAUAAAAUCAGCAUAGUGCUUGAGUGAAAACAGACCUGAAGAUCGAUGGAAUAGAUUAACAGAUACAACCACAACUACAAACACACUCAGCCACUUCAUAUUUGACAAAGGGGCCAAACAUGUUCACUGGAAGAACGAUAGCCUCUUUAAAAAGUGGUGCUGGAAAAACUGGCUUUUCAUAUGCUGAAAACUGAAACUAGACACGUAUCUAUCACCAUGCACUAAACUAAAGUCAAAAUGGCUCAAAGAUCUAAAUAUUAAAACAGAAACACUAAAUCUGCUGGAAGACAAAGUAUGCAGACAUCUUGAAGACAUAUGGGUAGGCAAAGAAUUCAUGAACAAAAGUCAAAUUGCAUAGGAAGUACUUCCCAGAAUCAACAACCGGGGUCUCAUCUUAUUAAAAAGUUUUUGCAUAUUAAAAGAAAGCUCCAACAGAGUGCAAAGAAAACCCAUGAAUUGGGGGAAAAACAACUUAGUCAACUGUCCCUCAGACAAAGGACUUCUAUCUAGAAUUUAUAAAGCAUUAAAUAAAAUCAGAGCCCUGAAAUUCAAAGACCCAAUCCAAAAAUGGGCAUCUGAGAUGAAUAUUCACUUCUCUGAUGAAGAAAUACAAAUGGCAAAUAAAUACAUGAAAAAAUGUUCAGCAUCUCUGGUCAUUAGAGAAAUGCAAAUUAAAAUCACACUGAGAUUCCAUCUCACUCCAGAAAGAAUGGCCAGGAUCAAGAAAACCACCAAUAGUAAAUCCUGGAGAGGCUGUGGGGAAAAGAAACACUUCUGCACUGUUGGUGGAAGUGUAGACUGGUGCAACCAUUGUGGAGGUCAGCCUGAAGGUUCCUCAAAAAGCUGGGAUUGGAAGUCCCAUUUGUUCUCUGCUAUUCCACAUCUAAGCAUAUUCCCACAACUGAAAACAUCAUACCACAGAGAUAUAUGUGCACCCGUGUUUAUAGCAGCACAAUUUGUAAUAGCCAAAUCUUGGAAACAACCUAAGUACUCAUCAACUAAAGAAUAGAUUUUUUUAAAGGUGUGAUAUUUUUAUAUAUUUGUUGUUUUUGUUUUGCACCAGGGAUCAAACUCAUGACUUAGCGCUUGCCAGAGAGGCGCUUAUGCCACAGAGCCAAAUUCCUGGCACCACUGUGAUAUUUUUAUAUAAUGGAGUGCUACUCAGCUAUAAAGAAGGAUCACAUUGAGGCUUUUAUGGUAAAUGGAUGCAACUUGAGGCCAUAUCAUAAGUGAAAUAAGUCAAAUUCACACAUGUACAUGCCAUAUUGUCUCCCUAGUGUAAGAAGUUAAAAGAGUAAAUGAGAUACAAAAUCUUCACUCAGUACUGUGAAAGUACUAAGAAACUGUUCAAAGGGGAAAAAACAACUCAGGGAAAAGAAGAGAAGGAAGGGAAAAGAAAAAAAGGUAUCAAUUUGUAUAUAUACACUUAAGAUAGCUAAGAUAAUUGUGCUACUAAUUCUGUUAGUUCUUGGAACAAAACAGUUAACAUUCAUAGGAUUAGAUCAAUUUUGCAUGUUUAUAUCUGGUAAUAUGACUGACUCUUUUGAAAAUAAUUAGACAUAAUAAAAACCUUAGUUUGUUCCUACCACCUUGUUUUGAAAGCCUAUAUUGUUAGUGUUUUGGGCUCUUCAUUAUGGUAUCGUUUCUUUUAUUUCUCGUUUUUCUUAUAUUUUGCUUUUCCUUCUAAUGUGGAAAGGAUAGAUAUACAUAUAUAGACUCACACAUGUCUAGAACUUCUAAAGAGUUUACAAGAAUUGAUUUUAUUAUGUGUGAUGGUAUAAACAGCUACUUUGAAGAAAAUGAGACAUAUGGCAGCCAUCACUGAUUUUCCUUUGAUUUUGAAGGCCUGUAAUGCUUUCAUUCUUUUGUUUUGAUUGAUUUUUUACUAUUUUGUUUUGUUUGAAUUCAUUGUGUAUGAGGAUAUGGACAACUAUUUUGAAGAAAACAAGAGACAUUAUGGUAGCCACUGUUGAUUUCCUGUUGUCUUGUUUUGAUUCUGUGUUGCUUGCAUUGCCAUGUUCUGAUCUGCUUUGUUCUGUUUUAUUUU